rnacentral:tRNA from 1 species
GGGGAUUUAGCUCAGUGGUAGAGCGCUUAUCUAGCAAGUACAAGGCCCUGGGUUCAGUCCCCAGCUCCG